AAGUCGUAACAAGGUCUCCGUAGGUAAGUCAUCGAUCAUCCCGAUUCUACAACCUUGUUGGCAUUUAUAACUAACUCUUCUCUUCUAGGUGAACCUGCGGAGGGAUCAUUAACGAGUCAGGGUCUCACCGGCCCGACCUCCCAACCCUUUGUCUACUUGACCAUCGUUGCUUCGGCGAGCCCGUCCUCACGGACCGCCGGGGGGUUCACUGAAACCUCUAGCCCGCGCUCGUCGACAGCCCCCAAUUCCAAAAUCUUAACUAAACGUGUCUUCAAUCUAAGUACUAUUGUUGAAUAAAAAACCAAAACUUUCAACAACGGAUCUCUUGGUUCUG
rnacentral:misc_RNA from 1 species